CACACUCACAUUAUCACACAGCUUUACAGACAGACAACGCAACGAGACCUUCUCAGCAAUGGCAAAUUACGAUCUUACCACGCCUGACCAGGAGCCUGACUCCAGCAGCGCGGAGCGGGGGCCCCUCUAGUGCGCGGUUACCACAGAGAGCAGGAUGCAGUUCAUGGCCAGACCUGAUGGUAGAGUGGAGAAUGGGAAGCGGAAACCUGACAAGAGCUGAGAUGAUAGAGCUGGAUAAAGAAGGACGCGGCGACUUGACACGUCUUCACUACAAAAUUUCAACUGCUAUUAGAUUAUUAAUGAUAAUCUUAAACUAUAAUUUAUUUUAUUAUUAAGUUUAUUUAUUUUAUUUAUUUAACCUAGUUGUGCAAGCACCAUCGAGCUUGUGCAGAGGCUGCAGCUUUUGCCAGAGGAGAACUGGAAUCCCCUGGUUGGGCCUGGGUUCUCCUGAGUUUUUUUUUUCUCCUUUGGAGUUUUGGGUUCCUCGCCACCGUUUGCACACUGUUUGUUUAACUGGCCGGGGGGCUGCUUUAUUUAUUUAAAAGUUUUACUUAAUAUUACAUUUAGGAAUUUAUAGUCCGUUUAAUAUUUGACCUGUGUUUCUCUCUCCCUUAUCUUAAAUGUGUGCUUUAAAAUGUUUUGCUUAUAGUCAAUAUGUUUUAUGUACAGCUGCUUUGUAACAAUGAAAACUGUAAAAAGCGCCAUAUAAAUAAAGUUGACUUGACUUGACUUUUGCCCGUCUGCUGAGCGAGGCAUUAGGGAGCCAAAGAGAUGACGUGUUUUUGUGGGCCAACCCAAAAGCCUAUGCAUUUUUCCCAUAGACUUUUGGAAAAUUGCAAAAAAAGAAAAAGGGUUAUGACACUUACACGUUUUGUCUAUCAAGAUAAUCUUUACAAGUUGACACAACAUUCGUUAUUUUUAAGACGAAAUCCAAUCUGCAGAAGUAAAAAGCUAACAAUGCUAUCAACAGCCUACACUUAAGGUCGCACUAAAUCAACGUCACCACCACCAAGCCUCCGACAACUCUUUCAAACUUGAUUAAAAAUGUGUUCCCUGGUGAGUAAUUACUCCGUGAAUGAAUCCACAUCUACGUUUAAGAGAUUUGUGCCCAUGUUGCAUUAUUUGUGAGCUUUAAGACACGAUGACGUCUAAUAACUUGUUAGCAGAGGUGGAAAAAGUACAAAAAUAUUUUACUUAAAUACAAGUACUACUACUUUGUACUUGAGUACAAGUAAAUUUACCAAUUUCAUCAGUCAAAAAAUCUUCUCAAGUAAAAGUAAAAGUUACUUUUUAAAAGCGGGAGGGGGACCUCUCCUGUUUUGUGCAACACCAACAAUAGUCAUCAUAGUGCCUAAUUUUAUAUAUUAAACAGUUUACAAGUGCACUGCAACCAAUAAAUAAUUUUUUGUCUUGUUUUGCAGAAAUAUCACAGAAUCAUAAAGCAGAAAUAUUAACUAAAAAAAUAUUAAAUCAAUAUACAUUUUCUUCAGAAGCUAAAUUAAGCCUUGUCUUCUUAAUAAAUUAUUAAUGGUACACACUGCUAAAUUUCAGUAUUGAAACCACGUAUAAAUGGUUCCACGCAGGGUUACAUGUUUGUGUGGAAUGAGAGUAAAUGUGGCGUUUGACAGUUGUAACCCUGUCGUAGUGUUGUCAAAAGUCCAAAAGUCCGGGACCAAGUCGGUACCUAAUUUUCAUAAGACCCGGUAGCACCGACGGACCGGGUCAACCGGGUACUGAUGCUCGGUCUGACAGGUUGUCAGUCGGAAACUUUUAACAGACGAAAUAAGACGUGAUGAGUGGAUAAGCGCGGCUCCGAUCCACAAGAGAUGCGCGCAGAAAUACUUCAGAUUCAAGUCAUAUCACGAAGAAAACAAACAGAGUUUUGAGGUAAAAGGAGGAAACAUCCGGAUUUAAGUUAACAAGUUCAAGCUCAGACUGAGGAGGAUGUUCAUCAGCAUGAAAGACCCCAGUGAGCACACAACCGUUUCAGCAACAAUUAACUUAUACUUCAUGUAUACAAAAUGGCAUUGCUUUCUAUACAUUUAUAUUAACAAUGAGCUUUAUUAAUAAAAUUGUGUUUCAAUUAGCAUGUACUGGUGUUUUGCUUUGGUACCGAAAUUGGUACCGAGAACCGUGGAAUUUGACUGGUAUUGGUACUGACUACUGAAAUUUUGGUACCGUGACAACACUACCCGGUCGUUACCAUGGCAACAUUUUUGCCGUUAAUCGCAGUGAACAAGAAACAUGAAUCCCAUUCCCAAGAGUUUAAUCCGUUUGAUACGUAUCUGCUGUUUUCGGCCAAAGACUGGUUAAGUGAGGCUAACUAAAACACAGACGCUGUGUUUUGUUCAUGUUCAGAGCUUCACAGCACGCUCUCGCAGUGUUGCCAUGUUUACAUAUUUUUAAGAGCUUUGCAUUUGUUGUUUAGUCUUUUCUUAUGAAGCUGCAUAUACAUUAUAAAGUUAAUAAAGUGAACAGUUGCGCGUAGUGGUUUUUUGCCCUGUUAAGGCCCAAUCCCAAUUCUAAUCUUAGCGAUAUUUUUGCAAACGUUAAAAGAACAUCACCGUAAAUACAAACACAAGAUUGAAUGUAAUGUGGUGAAAUGAAUUUCAGUGUGCAAACUCCACGCCCACUAGUAAUGCGUGUCAUUGGGUGGCGGGUAUAUAUUGCGGUGGUUGGGAACACGGGACGUUGCGUCACCGUCUCAGCCGUUUCCGGUUUUUGCUGUGUUUCGCUGCCUGGUGUUGAAGGUAUGUGUUUGCCGUUUCCUAUCGCUAGUUUUAUCUGCUCAGUUUAAUUAUGCCAUUUUUCUGAAAGGCUGGUGUCUGUUCGGUGCUCUCCCUUUAUGGUGAAGAGUGGCUGUUUGCCUUUCUGGGGUGAUUUUGCCACAUCACAUCGUUGUUUACAUUGCUACGUGCGUGCGUGCAUGUGACUGCUGUCUUCCCGUUCGUGAUCUAAGGUGUUCUGCCGGAUAGGUGACGGGUUUUCCCGCAUGUUGAUACAAACCAGUGCAGGAGUGCAUCCUUUUGUGCUCUGUCGCUGCAAGACUUGACGUCUCAACGCUGCUGUUUUGCUUUACUUUUGUUUCCUGUUUGCUGCUUGCUUGCUAUUGCUGGCUCGCUAGCCGGCUCGGUGGGGAGGUGCGGCGUCCUAGUUGUUGCUGGCUACCCACUUGCGGUUGCUGCUCGUUUAUAUUUGUUGUCUGUUUUCUUUCUUGGGUUUCUUAUUCCUGGUGCAAAUUAGUACAACUAUUGCUCCACGGGUCAGGGUGUUAACCCAGAUGACCCGAAUUUACGUGGUGCUCUAGGUUUAAGUGUUUGGUUUUCAUUUGUCGUUUUGUUGUUGGUUUCUUUAAAGAAUAUUGUUUAAUUGAUUUUGUCUUUCUAAAUUGAUUUCAUUCGUUUAAUUUCUUUUUUUUUAUUGCCUUCAUUGCAGUUUUGUUUAAUUUGGUAAUUGUUCUUUUUGUUUCUCUUUAUUUCUAGGAGCUGGGACUGGGAGGAGCCCAGAGUGGGCAGGCUAGUCAUUCCUGGUGCCAGAGUUUUUCCUACUAAGUGUAGAUUUCUUUUGAUUUUCUUUUUUAGUGUAUCACACCAGUGUGUGUCGUGGUUUUCUUUUUGGUGCACAUGUUGACACUUGUGGGCCCUUUGGAGGCCUGGGAUCUAGCCUGUCUAACUGCCUGGUGAGCCCCAGUUCCCUAGUUUAGUGUAUUUAUUUUGUUUUACAAAAUUGCUUGUCUGUUUUAUGUUAUGGCAAUCUUUACUGCCACUAUUGCACUGACCGAUUUUUAAUUAUUUAUGGUCAUAUAUUAAAGUUGCAAUUGAUACAAAUAAAAGUGUGUAUUCUUCAUAUCCAUGUCUCAUGGUCUCUUGUCUAAAAAGAAACUCGAACCUGUGUGCUUGUAUUGAUUUUUCCUGGGUAGUUAACCUGGGUGGCGUAGUUG